AUCACUUCUCGGCCUUUUGGCUAAGAUCAAGUGUAGAAAUCUAUCAUUCCUGGGAAGUCAAUCUUUAUCUUUUCCAAGCUCUGUUUCACUUCUAAAAGCAAUGAAUAAAUACUUUUACUUUGUCAGUAGUAUUUUAUUUUUCACA
rnacentral:snRNA from 1 species